GGGGUCGUGGGGUAGCCUGGACCAUCCUUCGGCGUUCGGGACGCCGGGACCUGAGUUCGAAUCUCAGCGACCCCACCA
rnacentral:tRNA from 1 species